GUCCCCGUGGCCCAGUGGACACGGCACCGGCCUCCGAAGCCGGAGACGCAGGUUCGACUCCUGCCGGGGACACC
rnacentral:tRNA from 1 species